rnacentral:rRNA from 1 species
CCUACGGGUGGCAGCAGUGAGGAAUAUUGGUCAAUGGGAGAGAUCCUGAACCAGCCAAGCCGCGUGAGGGAAGACGGCCCUAUGGGUUGUAAACCUCUUUUGUCGGAGAAUAAAACCCGGGACGUGUCCCGUUCUGCGUGUAUCCUAAGAAUAAGCAUCGGCUAACUCCGUGCCAGCAGCCGCGGUAAUCCGGAGGAUGCGAGCGUUAUCCGGAUUUAUUGGGUUUAAAGGGUGCGUGGGCGGUCCGUUAAGUCAGCGGUAAAAGUUCGGGGCUCAACCCCGUCGAGCCGUUGAAACUGGCAGACUUGAGUGGGGGAGAAGUAGGCGGAAUGCGCGGUGUAGCGGUGAAAUGCAUAGAUAUCGCGCAGAACUCCGAUUGCGAAGGCAGCGUACCGGAGCCAGACUGACGCUGAGGCACGAAAGCGUGGGGAUCGAACAGGAUUAGAUACCCGUGUAGUC